rnacentral:rRNA from 1 species
UACUGGGCGUAAAGCGUGCGCAGGCGGUUUUGUAAGACAGUGGUGAAAUCCCCGGGCUCAACCUGGGAACUGCCAUUGUGACUGCAAGGCUAGAGUGCGGCAGAGGGGGAUGGAAUUCCGCGUGUAGCAGUGAAAUGCGUAGAUAUGCGGAGGAACACCGAUGGCGAAGGCAAUCCCCUGGGCCUGCACUGACGCUCAUGCACGAAAGCGUGGGGAGCAAACAGGAUUAGAUACCCUGGUAGUCAAGGGCG